AAGGGUUAACAACUCUUGUAGAAUUUGUCCAGCAGGCUUUCCAGUUUUUGCUGGAACGCCUCA
ensembl:snRNA U7 U7 small nuclear RNA